rnacentral:rRNA from 1 species
AUGAACGCUAGCGACAGGCCUAACACAUGCAAGUCGAGGGGCAGCACAAGGAGCAAUCUGAGGUGGCGACCGGCGCACGGGUGAGUAACACGUAUGCAACCUGCCUGUAAGCGGGGAAUAACCCGUUGAAAGACGGACUAAUACCGCAUAAUACUAAAUUACUGCAUGGUAAUUUAUUUAAACAUUUUAUGGCUUACAGAUGGGCAUGCGCAUGAUUAGCUAGUUGGAGAGGUAACGGCUCCCCAAGGCAACGAUCAUUAGGGGUUCUGAGAGGAAGGUCCCCCACACUGGUACUGAGACACGGACCAGACUCCUACGGGAGGCAGCAGUGAGGAAUAUUGGUCAAUGGACGAGAGUCUGAACCAGCCAAGUCGCGUGCAGGAAGAAUGUCCCUAUGGAUUGUAAACUGCUUUUGCAGGGGAAUAAAGUGCAUCACGUGUGAUGUUUUGUAUGUACUCUGCGAAUAAGGAUCGGCUAACUCCGUGCCAGCAGCCGC